rnacentral:rRNA from 1 species
GACGAACGCUGGCGGCGUGCCUAACACAUGCAAGUCGAGCGGAGUCAGUAAGAGGAAGUUUUCGGAUGGAAUCUUGCUGGUUUAGCGGCGGACGGGUGAGUAACGCGUGAGCGACCACCCUUGCACAGGGGGAUAACGGACCGAAAGGUUCACUAAAACCGCACGAGACCACGGUGUUGCAUGACACAGGGGUCAAAGGAGCAAUCCGGUGCAAGACGGGCUCGCGUCCGAUUAGGUAGUUGGAGGGGUAACGGCCCACCAAGCCUAUGAUCGGUAGCCGACCUGAGAGGGUGAUCGGCCACAUUGGAACUGAGAUACGGUCCAAACUCCUACGGGAGGCAGCAGUGGGGAAUAUUGGGCAAUGGGGGAAACCCUGACCCAGCAACGCCGCGUGAAGGAAGAAGGUUUUCGGAUCGUAAACUUCUGUCCUUGGUGAAGAGAAGAAGACGGUAGCCAAGGAGGAAGCCCCGGCUAACUACGCGCCAGCCGCCGCGGUAA